rnacentral:rRNA from 1 species
UACGAAGGGUGCAAGCGUUAUUCGGAAUUACUGGGCGUAAAGGGUGCGUAGGCGGUUCGUUAAGUCUGUCGUGAAAUCCCCGGGCUCAACCUGGGAAUUGCGAUGGAUACUGGCGAGCUAGAGUGUGUCAGAGGAUGGUGGAAUUCCCGGUGUAGCGGUGAAAUGCGUAGAGAUCGGGAGGAACAUCAGUGGCGAAGGCGGCCAUCUGGGACAACACUGACGCUGAAGCACGAAAGCGUGGGGAGCAAACAGG